rnacentral:rRNA from 1 species
UGCCAUUAAUACUGCCGUUCUUGAGUAUAGUUGAAGUGGGCGGAAUGUAUCAUGUAGCGGUGAAAUGCUUAGAUAUGAUACAGAACACCGAUAGCGUAGGCAGCUCGCUAAACUAUAACUGACGCUCAGGCACGAAAGCGUGGGGAGCAAACAGGAUUAGAUACCCUGGUAGUCCACGCCGUAAACGAUGAUCACUCGCUGUUGGCGAUACACAGUCAGCGGCAAAGGGAAACCAUUAAGUGAUCCACCUGGGGAGUACGGUCGCAAGAUUGAAACUCAAAGGAAUUGACGGGGGCCCGCACAAGCGGAGGAGCAUGUGGUUUAAUUCGAUGAUACGCGAGGAACCUUACCUGGGCUUAAAUGUUGGACGACUGUCCCCGAAAGGGGACUUUCCUUCGGGACGUCUAGCAAGGUGCUGCAUGGUU